rnacentral:rRNA from 1 species
CGGUAAUACAGAGGGUACAAGCGUUAAUCGGAAUUACUGGGCGUAAAGCGCGCGUAGGUGGUUUGUUAAGUUGGAUGUGAAAUCCCCGGGCUCAACCUGGGAACUGCAUUCAAAACUGACUGACUAGAGUAUGGUAGAGGGUGGUGGAAUUUCCUGUGUAGCGGUGAAAUGCGUAGAUAUAGGAAGGAACACCAGUGGCGAAGGCGACCACCUGGACUAAUACUGACACUGAGGUGCGAAAGCGUGGGGAGCAAACAGGAUUAGAUACCCCAG